rnacentral:rRNA from 1 species
AACCUGCCUGGUAGCGGGGGAUAACUAUUGGAAACGAUAGCUAAUACCGCAUAACAGUAGAUGUUGCAUGACAUUUGCUUAAAAGGUGCAAUUGCAUCACUACCAGAUGGACCUGCGUUGUAUUAGCUAGUUGGUGGGGUAACGGCUCACCAAGGCGACGAUACAUAGCCGACCUGAGAGGGUGAUCGGCCACACUGGGACUGAGACACGGCCCAGACUCCUACGGGAGGCAGCAGUAGGGAAUCUUCGGCAAUGGACGGAAGUCUGACCGAGCAACGCCGCGUGAGUGAAGAAGGUUUUCGGAUCGUAAAGCUCUGUUGUAAGAGAAGAACGAGUGUGAGAGUGGAAAGUUCACACUGUGACGGUAUCUUACCAGAAAGGGACGGCUAACUACGUGCCAGCAGCCGCGGUAAUACGUAGGUCCCGAGCGUUGUCCGGAUUUAUUGGGCGUAAAGCGAGCGCAGGCGGUUAGAUAAGUCUGAGGUUAAAGGCUGUGGCUUAACCAUAGUACGCUUUGGAAACUGUUUAACUUGAGUGCAAGAGGGGAGAGUGGAAUUCCAUGUGUAGCGGUGAAAUGCGUAGAUAUAUGGAGGAACACCGGUGGCGAA